rnacentral:tRNA from 1 species
UCCCUGGUGGCUCAGACGGUAAAGCGUCUGCCUGCAAUGCGGGAGACUCGGGUUCGAUUCCUGGGUCGGGAA